rnacentral:misc_RNA from 1 species
UCCCACUCUUGUAGCAAUUUCUCAGCUUCUUCAAGCUCCCCAAGCUUGACUAGAGAACCCAGCAUGGUUAUAUAAUCUCUGUUGACUUGCUUCUUACACUUGGCUUUUGCAAGACCCCACAACCUCAUCAUCUUAUCUUUAUUGCCAAGACUUGCAUAAAGUGAAACCAAAUGAUUGUAGCCUAGUGCAUCUUUAGUCACCUUUUCUUCACAUUUCUUCAGGUAGACAAGUGCCCUCUCUUUUAAACCUGCUUUUAUGUAGAUGUUGGCUACUGUGGAAUAAGUAAUCCAAUCCACAGAGAUAUGAGGUUGGUUAUCCAUUUCUUCAAGAAUUUUCUCCACACCACUAAGAUCAGAUCUUGCUGCACAAGAGUUCAUGCAAAUUCUGUAGCUAAAAUUGUCAGGAGAGACACCAUUCU